rnacentral:rRNA from 1 species
AUUGAACGCUGGCGGCAUGCUUUUACACAUGCAAGUCGGACGGCAGCACAGAGAAGCUUGCUUCUUGGGUGGCGAGUGGCGAACGGGUGAGUAACAUAUCGGAACGUACCGAGCAGUGGGGGAUAACUAAUCGAAAGAUUAGCUAAUACCGCAUAUUUUCUGAGGAAGAAAGCAGGGGACCAUUUGGCCUUGCGCUGUUUGAGCGGCCGAUAUCUGAUUAGCUAGUUGGUGGGGUAAAGGCCUACCAAGGCGACGAUCAGUAGCGGGUCUGAGAGGAUGAUCCGCCACACUGGGACUGAGACACGGCCCAGACUCCUACGGGAGGCAGCAGUGGGGAAUUUUGGACAAUGGGCGCAAGCCUGAUCCAGCCAUGCCGCGUGUCUGAAGAAGGCCUUCGGGUUGUAAAGGACUUUUGUCAGGGAAGAAAAGGGCGGGGUUAAUACCCCUGUCUGAUGACGGUACCUGAAGAAUAAGCACCGGCUAACUACGUG